UCAGGCCUAACACAUGCAAGUCGAACGAACCCUUCGGGGUUAGUGGCGCACGGGUGCGUAACGCGUGGGGAUCUGCCCUUUGCUUCGGAAUAACAGUUAGAAAUGACUGCUAAUACCGGAUGAUGUCGCAAGACCAAAGAUUUAUCGGCAAAGGAUGAACCCGCGUAGGAUUAACUAGUUGGUGGGGUAAAGGCCUACCAGGGCGACGAUCCUUAGCUGGUCUGAGAGGAUGAUCAGCCACACUGGGACUGAGACACGGCCCAGACUCCUACGGGAGGCAGCAGUGGGGAAUAUUGGACAAUGGGCGCAAGCCUGAUCCAGCAAUGCCGCGCGAGAGAUGGAGGCCUUCGGGUUGUAAAGCUCUUUUACCAGGGAUGAUA
rnacentral:rRNA from 1 species